GAUUAACGCUGGCGGCAUGCCUAAUACAUGCAAGUCGAACGAGGUAGCAAUACCUAGUGGCGAACGGGUGAGUAACACGUGGGGAACCUGCCCAUUAGUCGAGGAUAACUAUUGGAAACGAUAGCUAAAACUGGAUAGUAUAUCGGAAGGCAUCUUCUGAUAUUUAAAGGUCCUGCAAGGGGAACGCUAAUGGAUGGCCCUGCGGAGCAUUAGCUAGUUGGUGAGGUAACGGCCCACCAAGGCGACGAUGCUUAGCUGAGCUGAGAGGCUAAACAGCCACACUGGGACUGAGACACGGCCCAGACUCCUACGGGAGGCAGCAGUAGGGAAUUUUCGGCAAUGGAGGAAACUCUGACCGAGCAAUGCCGCGUGAAUGAUGAAAUUCUUCGGAAUGUAAAGUUCUGUUGUUAGGGACGAAUGGCAGUGGUAGGAAAUGACCAUUGAUUGACGGUACCUGACUAGAAAGCCCCGGCUAACUAUGUGCCAGCAC
rnacentral:rRNA from 1 species